rfam:Dipodomys ordii contig_33051, whole genome shotgun sequence.
GGGAAUGUGGCUUAGUGGUAGAGUGCUUGCCUGGCACGCAUGAAGCCCUGGGUUCCAUUUCUCAGUACCA